UGAAUGCUCAUUGGUCCACAUUCUAAGUUAGGUGACGUCAUUCACCUGCGCUUGCAUUUAGGCUCAACGUGUGCGUCUUCGGGAACGCUCGUCUGUUUGCUUUAUGCUGCACGCUGUUGUUAUCGUUUCCAGCGCGUCUUUUUUUGGGAACUCUCGCCGGUCUGCUUAAUGCUGCACGCUGCUGUAACCGCUAUUGGCGUGUUUGUUGCGAACUCCUGCCUUAUGGUUUGCUGCACGCGGCUGUGACCGGUUUAAACGGAUGACCACUUUCUAUUUGCGUUUCCUACCAACGUGGUUUUGGCUUAUUCGGAUGGCUGUUGUGCGGGCUUCUGUGGACUUCAGUUCAUUUGUUGGUGCGUGAAUGACGACUGCAUUAAACUAUUGAGUGGGGGUGUCCUUUUGAGUGCCUGGCCCCGCAGUUACGGAGAACUACAGUUUGUGUAGUGUCAUCGCUGUUUUGUUAUAGGCCAGUGUGAUACUACUGACACAAUGUUGUGACACUGCUGUGCUCCAUCUCAUCCUGCAUAUUAUCUGUGUAUACGUAAUCCCUCAUUGGAGAUUAGGUCCAUAUCAUAAGACUUUAAAAUUACCUUCUUUUGUUUUCUUUAUAUUUUGUUUUGCCGAAUGAGUUAAAUUUUCAGUUUUCUUUCUUUGUUUAAUUUUGAUGUUGUGAUUUUGGCUUUCUUGAUAACCAUUGUUUGUAAAUUGAUUAUUCUUUUGGCUAUACUGUUUGUAUUAGUUUAAG